ACAAAGUUUCAUUUGAUGCUGCAGGUAUCUGUUUUGUUGCUCUUAUUCUCACAAUGUUGCUCCAAAAGGGAAAUUCAUUGCAUUUGUCUCCACAGAAGCAGAAACUGACCAGCCAGAGAUUGAACUGAAACCAGGGAUCGAUAUUCUCGGGCCUGUGGAUGAAAUUUUCUUUGAGACUUAUGACAGAUAUGAACCAUCCAAUGAGCCCUCACAGGACAAUUGCUUCAUAUCAACUAGCUAUGAUUCUACUACUCACUUUGAGUCGACUGUUGAUGAUGUGCUGAAUAUGUAUACCAAGAUUACUGGAAAGGUUCUGGAUCUUAAUGUGGAUCUAGGUGCUGCCAGUGAUGCUGAAGAAUGAGAGAAGCUUCUUUCUUCUUGUUGCACGUGCUGAGUUUUAUCCUACCAAUUUCAUUGGAAUAUGGAUAGAAUUUCUC